rnacentral:rRNA from 1 species
GAAAACUAAAGUUGCUGUGUUUAAAAAGCUCGUAGUUGAAUUUCGGGUAUUUGUUGCUAGCUGGUCUCAAUGGCCAUGUUGGUUAACAGAUCCUCAUUUGCUGGAUAAUUGGCGAUGAUCUUUAUCGGUUGUCGUCAGUUGCCAGAACGUUUACUUUGAGAAAAUUAGAGUGCUAAAAGCAGGCUCACGCCUAUAUAUAUUGCAUGGAAUAAUGAAAUAAGAUCUCGAUUUUAUUUCGUUGGUUUUAGAAAUUGAGAUAAUGAUUAAUAGGAUCAGAGGGGGGCGUACGUACUGUGGUGUGAGAGGUGAAAUUCUUGGAUCGCCACAGGACGAACAGCAGCGAAGGCGUUCGCCAAGAAUGUUUUCAUUAAUCAAGAACGAAAGUUUGAGGUUCGAAGACGAUUAGAUACCGUCCUAGUUCAAACCAUAAACGUUGCCAACUGUCUUUUAGAUGCGGUUAUUUAUAUGACUCAUCUGGCGGAUCUCGAGAAAUCUAAGUUUUUAGGUUCCGGGGGAAGUAUGGUUGCAAAGCUGAAACUUAAAAGAAUUGACGGAAGGACACACAAGAAGUGGAGCCUGUGGCCUAAUUUGACUCAACACGGGAAACCUUACUCGGCCAGGACACUUUUAGGAUUGACAGAUUGAGAGCUCUUUCUUGAUUAGGUGGGUGGUGGUGCAUGGUCGUUCGUAGUUCGUGGAGCGAUUUGUCUGAUUAAUUUCGAUAACGAACGAGACUCCGGCUUACUAAAUAGUCUAAAGUUCGAAGGGACUUUUCAAGACUUCUUAGCAGGAUAAAUGGCACUUUUUAAGCCAUACGAAAUGGAGCAAUAACAGGUCUGUGAUGCCCUUAGAUGUCCGAGGCUGCACGCGCGCUACACUGGAGAGUUCAGAAUGUUUCUUCCUACUUCGACAGGAGUGGGUAACCAUGAAAUUCUCUUCGUGCCUGGGAUCGGAGCUUGCAAUUAUUCUCCGUCAA